rnacentral:misc_RNA from 1 species
UCCGGCUUAUCACCGGCAGUCGCCUUAGAGUGCCCAACUAAAUGAUGGCAACUAAGGCCGAGGGUUGCGCUCGUUGCGGGACUUAACCCAACAUCUCACGACACGAGCUGACGACAGCCAUGCAGCACCUGGACAUCAGGUUCCCCGAAGGGCACAUCCACAUCUCUGCGGACUUCCUGAGAGUUCUAACCCGGGUAAGGUUCUUCGCGUUGCGUCGAAUUAAACCACAUGCUCCACCGCUUGUGCAGGCCCCCGUCAAUUUCUUUGAGUUUUAACCUUGCGGCCGUACUCCCCAGGCGGAUGACUUAACGCGUUAGCUGCGCCACCGAAGCGCUAAGCGCCCCGACGGCUAGUCAUCAUCGUUUACAGCGUGGACUAC